rnacentral:tRNA from 2 species
CGGGAUGUAGCCUAGUCUGGCCAAGGCGCCUGCUUUGGGAGCAGGAGAUCGCCGGUUCGAAUCCGGCCGUCCCGA